UAUGUGAUCGUCUCUCGCAUAUCAAUAAGCGGAGGAAAAGAAACUAACAAGGAUUCCCCUAGUAACGGCGAGUGAAGCGGGAAGAGCUCAAAUUUGAAAUCUUAAAGGGUUUCCCUUUACGAAUUGCUAGUUUAAAGAAGUGUUUUCUGUUGAGGUUUUGGUAAAAGUUCUUUGGAAUAGGACAUCAUAGAGGGUGAGAAUCCCGUAUUUGACCUUUACUUUCAACUUUGUGAUACACUUUCAAAGAGUCAGAUUGUUUGGGAAUGCAGUCCAAAAUGGGUGGUAAAUUUCAUCUAAAGCUAAAUAUUGGCGAGAGACCGAUAGCGAACAAGUACCGUGAGGGAAAGAUGAAAAGAACUUUGAAAAGAGAGUUAAACAGUACGUGAAAUUGUCAAAAGGGAAGCGUUUGACACCAGUGUUGUUUUUCUGAAAAUCAAUUAAAGAACUGUUUAUGCUAAGCUUGUUUAGACUUUAUCAGCUAAUCUGUUUAGUUUUGAGCUUUUCUUUAAUGCACUUUUCAGUUAACAAGUCAACAUCAAUUUCUUUUGCUGUAAAAAAGCUUGAGGAAGGUGGCUUGAGAUUCGUCUUAAGUGUUUAUAGCCUCUUGCCUAUGCAGUCGGAGAGAUUGAGGUCUGCAGCGUAGAUCCUUCGGGGCUAAAUGCAUUUGUGCUAAGUUAUAGCAUUUUAUAGACAACUUGUUGACUAUGAUUUGUCUUGUAGCUUACUCGCUUAUGUUAUUUUACCUACGCUUAGGAUGUUGAUCUACAGAGCGAGAGU
rnacentral:rRNA from 1 species